rnacentral:rRNA from 1 species
UACGGGAGGCAGCAGUGAGGAAUAUUGCGCAAUGGGGGCAACCCUGACGCAGCGACGCCGCGUGGAUGAUGAAGGCCUUCGGGUUGUAAAAUCCUGUCAGAUGGGAAGAAGUGCUAUAUGGUUAAUAUCUGUAUAGUUUGACGGUACCAUCAAAGGAAGCACCGGCUAACUCCGUGCCAGCAGCCGCGGUAAU